GGGGUUCUACUAGGUGGGCACUCUCCAUGGAAAAACCAUUUUUUAUACCCCGAAUAAACCAAUCAACAAUUAGAUUUUCGUAGACAACUUCACGAAAAUGCCAAUUGAUGUUGACACACUUAUUACACGGGCAAAGAAUCAUAUUCUCUUGGCUUGCAUUUUGAAAUGCAAAAUUUAGAAAAGUUUGUACUCCAUUUCGAUAGUCGUUGCUUACCCUUGACAAAUUCAUCCAAGUCCAAUCCAUUUCGUAGUUCUUGAAGUCUAAAGUUGACAAUAAAUUACACGAGUAAGUUGUUUAUUUAUAAGUAUAAUUAAGUUAUGUAAAUUAUGAUAUGAUAUAUAUUCAUGUAUUAUGUAAGUUAUGUGAGUUAUGUAAGUUAUGAUAUUUAUUUUAAAAGUUUUAUAUAUCCCUUUGUUCUAAUAUAUUCUACUUUUGAACUUGAUUGUCUAUCUUUUUGCUUUCCGUUCACUAUACAAUUUAAUCUAUGAAAUUUCAAAGAAACAGAAAAGGAUAUAAGUCUAUGCAAUAUAUAUGCCAAAUGAAAUCAAGGAAGGAAAUCAUGAAGUAACAAUGAAGCAAUAGUUUACUUACCACACCAAGAGAAAAGUAAUGAGGUAGUAAACUGUAUUCAGUAGCCCAUAAGACAACACCCGAGAUAUUCGAUAUUGUUUCGAUUUCUUCAGCACACUGAGAUAGCAAAACAAAUUAAAAAAAAAUGUAGUGGACAAUUUAUCAAACAAAGUGCCUUUCAAAUCAAAUUCAAUAUAAACACAAAGUCAGCAAUAUCAAAAACAACAUCAACAGAUGACAUGCAUUAUCCAUUUUCAAAGAGACUGAAACUAAAUAAAGGGUCCAUAUCAGCAGUAACAUAAACAGCUAAAUAUAUGACAUGGGAAAAUAUUCCAUGAACAUAUUAUGUGCUCAAGUACACUAGUUACAGAUUACAAGCCCGUGAGAAAUUUAAACUGUGAGACACACAAAAUGGCAACACAGACCAGUAUUCAGGUUACAAAAUGAACGAAUGCCUGUCGAAGAAAGUUAAAUUAGUGAAUUUAAUCAAAGCAUUAAAGGAUAGUCAUGCAAGAGACAUUAUUUGAGAAACAGUUCAAACAAAGGGAGUCAUAGCUGAUGAAUCAUUUUGCACUCUGCCAACAACAAAGAAAAAGGAAAUCGUUAGGGAUUCAAGCAGCUUAAAGAUUUUAUCUUGGGGGAAAUGCUCAACAUAGUACAGCAAAAAUCAUGCUCAAAGAGAAACAGCCAAUCCAAAUACCAUUAAUUAUACACUACAGAAAGAGAAAUCCCAUUCCUUUCCUCCAUUCCUAUAUUGCAACAUGAACAUGCAUUAAUCAAUCACCAAACCAAAUGCAGAUAUAGGGAAACACAAACAAAAAUCUGAAGAAUCGCACAUUAGUGAAACACAUAAAAACUGUUGAUAACAUCAAAGAACAACAGCUAAUAACAGGAUCAACAACCCCAGAUCUUCUUUUUAUACAAAAAGAUCACCAUUCAGAGCUGAUUCAGAAACAGGAAAGCAACUAAAACAACAAGUCAUACCAAAGAACACAUUUACAUAGUGAAAAAGAAAAUCUGAACUAACAUAAAAGAUCACAGUAAAAAAAAAAACGAUAACAUCCAAGGUACAUACAAGAACCCAAUAAUCAUAAGUAAAAUUCUGAUAUGAUCCCAUAUCUAAAAACAUUAACUUGUUGACAAAACAGGUAGUUAAAGGAACAAAUAACAAGAACAAAGGAAAAAAGAAACGAAAUUUAAGAACCAAAAAGAGGGAGUAAACGAGUAAAAAGAAGGGAGAUUUAAAAUGAUAAACUUAACCUUCCCCAGGGAAGAAGAAAAGUUCUGAAUCGUUAAAAUUAAAUGUGAAAGAAGGAAGCUAAGGAAAUGGGUAGUUAUGUUUUGCAUUGAUUCGUAGCUAUUCCCAAACAAAACAUUUAUAUCCAUCGAAAAAUAACACCAACAUAAACAGGAAAACUAAACAAAAAGAAGCAGCACUUGGUCUUUGAGUUUUGACACUAAAAUCUCAAAAACUGUAUCUAUAAAGAGAGAUUGAAGAGUGGAAGAUGAUACCUGGAUCGAAGAGAUAUUAGGCUUUGUUUUGUUUCAUAUGGAGUGGAGAAAAGAGAAGCAAUCCAGAGAGUAUUUGUUUGUAUGGUGUUUUGGUAUAUAUAAAGGAGAGAGGGGGACCGGGGUAAAGAAAAGUGUUCUUUGUAUAUAUAAUAAAUAAAUUGUAUUUAAAAAAAUAAAUAAAUAAAGGCAUAAUAACUUUUUUAACCUUCCAACUUUAUAAAAAAUUUAUUUUAGUCCUAUAUUUAAUUUUUCAUCUCUUUGAACCAUUAAACUUAUGUUUCUUAUCAAAUUACCUCAAAACGGACUAACUUUUCUAAUGUGGCAUACAUCUGGAUUGUCACGUAGAUGGGAUGUUAGCAUUUAAUUAAUUUUUUAAAAUUUUAAAAAAUUAUAAUUUUAUAUUUUUAAUAAUUUUAAUGGUUUUUAAUUUUUAAAAGUAAUUUUUUAUUUUUUAAAAUUUUAAAAAAAUUAAUUAAAUGUUAACAUGUCAUCACAUGGUAAUUCACGUGUAUGCCGCCACAUCAGCAAAAUUGACAAACGUUAAUUUUUCAUCUAUUUUGGGUGGUUUGACAAAAAAACACAAGUUUAAGAGUUAAAAAGACAAAAAAUUAAAUGGAAGGUUAAAAUAAUUUUUUUUAUAAAGUUAGAGGGCUGAAUAAAUUAUUAUACUAAAAAUAAAUAAAGAAAGAAAAUAUAAAUUUUAAGCUAUUUUCUAGAAAAGUGGGUUGAAUUUGUUUUGUUUUUUUAAAUAAAUCGAUAUUAUGAUGUUUUAUAAAUGUAUCCUAUUUAAAUUUGGAUUUAACUCAAUUAAUUUAUAUAAACAAUUAAUUUUAACAAUUUAAAAUUUUCCAAACACAAAAAAGAAAUAUAGUUAAAUAGUUUUGAAGAAGAAAUAAUGGUUUAUUUAAUCUUUCAACUAAAAAAAGAUUUUUGGUUUCAUUUAAUUUUUUUUUCUUUUUUAACCUUUAAACUUAUGUGAAUUGUUACAUGAAUGUCAUAAUUAAUUUUUUAAAAUUAAUAAAAAAAAUAAAAAAUAUUUUUUUAAUAUUUUUUAAUUUUAAAAAUUAAUUAAUUGUUAACGUGGCACACACGUGAAUGUCACGUCAACAAAGUUAGCAACCGUUAAUUUUUUCUUUCAUUUUCGAGAUGAUUUGACCAACAAUAUAAGUUCAAUAAUUUAAAAGGCAAAAAUCGAAUGGAAUAUUAAAAUAAUUUUUUUAUACAAAAUUAAAAGGUCAAAUAAAUUAUUAUUUCGAACAAAUAAAAAUAACAAUGAAAAAAACAUAAAAUUUAAGACAACACGAGUUCAAACCGACUUAUGAAAUCAUUUAUUAUUCUUAAUCUCUCAAAACAUAAACUGAUUAAGAAGUCAAUGAAGAGCUACCCACUUUUUAAAAGAAACUGUCACUGGUUAGUGGUGUUUCAACGAUGAUAGGCAGUGUCAUCUGUCCAUGAUAACUUGUGAAGACAACAAAUAUACCCACAAAAUAGAUCUAUAAACUUAAAAGAGAGAAGACGCGUGGAGUGAAUGAAAAGGAAAAAGAAAAAGAGGUUUGAUGUGCAAGAGAAAAAGGCUGACGGUAACUAACCCGAAGACCAACAUCACCUCUAGAAAAAAAAACGAUUUAGAAAAAAAAAAAUAGGGUUUUUUCAAUGUUGAGUUUUAUUCAAAGAUUAUUAAUGUGUAUAUAUAUAAUUAAUAAAAACUUAAUUCAAUAAUUAAAACAUUAUUUUUCAUCAAAAUUAUAUAUAUACACAUGUAUAUAAUAAAAAACUAAAUGCUAAUGUUGAUUUUGAAGCAGAUUUUAUUCAUUUAUUUUUUUUAUAAUGCAAAAAAAUCUUAUGAAAUUUAACAUAUUUAUAGCGUCACAAUCCAUAUUUUUCGGGUAAUUUAUAGCUUUAUCAAUUUUCUCUCCUUUGAAGUAGAAAAAUUUUUAAUGGAGAAAGUUACCAAUGUAGGUAUUGCUGAUGUAAUUAAAAUUGUCAAAAUUUUUAAAAAUUAGUCCUUAAUUUUUGAACAAUUAAACUUUCAUAUUUUAUUAUUUAGAAUUUUAAAUUCUCAAAUAAGAUAAAUUAGUCCUAAAACUCAAGUUUUGAAAUUUUUACAAUUUAAUCUCUAUAAUUUCAAACUUUACUAUUUUAUGCUCAACUUUCCAAAUUUUCAUAUUUCAUAAUCAUAUAAUUAAGUUACAAUAUCAAUGUUACAGAUUUCAUUACUCAAACCCUUAGAAUUCAAAAUUUUAUAAAUUUUACAAUUUGACUCUUCAAUUUUUAUCAAAUUAAAUCAUUUUUCAACUUAUUCAUCCAAAUAAUAUUAAUAUUAAAUAUUUACCAGUUUCAACUUAAUUAAAAAUAAACUUGUAGCUAUAAAUUUAUAUUCCAUAAUGUACGGAAUUAACAAUUAAGCUUAAUUAAGUAAAUUAAGAUUAAUUAAAGCUAAAAGAUGAUUAAUGAAAAUAUAAAUAAAUUUUAUGAAAUAAAGUCAAUUAAAUAUUGAAAAGAUAAUAAAAUUUCAAAUGUAUGUUUUCUUCAUUAAAAAUAAUUUUUAUGAAAUAUUUUCAGGAAAUCUAUCAAACAAUUGAAAAUUUUUACAUAAAAUAUUAGUUUUUUUCAGAAAAAUAAUUAUUUUUUAGAAAUUAUUUUUUGAAAACCAUUUUUAAAUAAUCAAACGGAGCGUUGAUGUUCAAUUUUUAGGUGUUUAAAUUUGAUUUUUUGAAGCAAGACAUAUUUUAGUUUAGAUAAAAGGAACUAAUUGUAUUAUGAUGUUGUAAUCCACUACUAGAUGCUCCACAGAGAAGCAAAAGGCCUUGUGUAUUGCCGAAAAAAGGGGACUCUAUGUAUGUUUUUCAUUAUACAUAACCAAAGUUGUAAUCGGCUUUUUCGUUAAGUCGAGGCAAACUGGAAAGCAUUUUCAGUACUACAUAGAUCAAAUUAAUUGGGCAGUUUGAGAGCUUAUGCUGGUUUGAUAUUAGAUGUUUUUCUUUUCCCAAAAAUCAUUUUCAACAUCAUUGUAGCAAAAUAGGCUUUGUGAAAACAUCGCAAAAAAUGAAGCUAUAGACAACGUCGCUAAAUUUUACAGCGUUUUUUUCACAUAAACGGCGUUAUAGAAUAUGACCUUUAACGGUGCUUUUCUCACAAUCACCGCUAAAGAACAUGACAUUUAGCGGCGCUUUUAUCACAAAUGUCGCUAAAGAACAUGACCUUAAGCGGCGCUUUUAUCACAAACGCCGCUAAAGAACAUGACCUUUAGCAGCGCUUUUUUCUCAAACACCACAAAAAGUAUCGUUCUUUAGCGGCAUUUUAAAAAAAAUGUCACUAACUUUGGUAGAUUUGUAACAUUCAAUUUUCAUCCAUAUACAACCCCUUCCAGUAGCAUGAAAUCUAAUUAAAAACAGCAAAUCUAAAUGAUACUUCAAAUUCAAAAUAUAUAUGAUAUAAAGUGAUAACUAAAGUAUAAUUCAAAAUAUUCUUACAAUAAUGUUAAAAGAUACAAUGUUAAAAAUAUUCUUACAAUAAGAAAACAAAUGUCUAAGAUGGCGAAUUUUGCGACUGUUGAAACAUCUUCAUCAUAUUCUGAAGCUGUAGCUGGAGUACGUCGUACUUUCUGUUCUGCUCUGCUUCCCUCGCUGUUGCCUCCGCUUUAAGUUUAUCAAAGUUCGAUUGCAUCUGAGACAUCUGGUCUCUUAACCGCUGAACUUCAACUUGAGCUUGACUCCCCAAAGGCAUGGAUUGCUGCGAGCUGGAUCCAAAAUAUUGGGUUGGGUUAACAAAAGAUCCUUGAAAUCGAACCCGACCAUGCCUCUCAGGACCCAAAACUUCAGUAAUAAUCCGAUUAUCAAUGUCGUCAACAUUAACAGAACUAUCACUCGAAGCAACCGCUUUAUACUCCGCCUUUUUAUCCUUUAGUUUCUCCUAAUAAAUCAAUUAAAGAGUUAGAAACGAAAUAUAUAAUAAAAACAAAUGCAACAUAACUUAACAUUUUUUGUAUUACAAACGACGAAUUAAACCAUUAUAAUUAAACACUAUAAAUAUUUAAAAUAAUUUAAAUUUUAUUAAAUAAACAUACCAUAAUUUCUGCAGCUUUAGAAGUCAUAGGAGAUCCAUCUUUCUUCCUAUGUGUAAUGUCAAAAAGCUGAAGGCGUCUAACUUUUUGACCAGACGACAUUUUCUACAAUAUAGUAGUAAAAAUAUUAUUUAAUAAAAAGUAAUAAAUAUUUAACAUAAUUAAUAAAUUCAAAAUACCUCGGCCUUAGCUAUACAAGCAAAACUUUUCAACCCAGCUGUGUGAGUGAAUUUCUGUUUUUGCUUGCUGCUUGUACCAACUCGUUCACGAUCCUACAUUAUGAAAUUAUUAUUACGUAUAUGAUAAAUACUAUAAACCAAAAUAAUUAUAUGAGUUUGGAAGUACGUAAUACCUCUCCUUUCUUUGAAUUCCAAAAUCUAACCGCAUCUUUCCAUUGGUACCUCAACAUUCCCGGCGGGACAUUUCGCAAUUUCUCUUCGAGACUUAUAUUUUUCUUAAAAUAUUUCUUCUUUAAAGUACUUUUAUGAUCUCUCCAUCUUUUUCCCAAUGCCUUCUUGACAUAAUUAUCUGAGACCUCUAAAGCAAACUUCUCCUACAAAAAACACAAGUUUAGAUUGUAAAUAUAAAUGAAACUUAAACCAAAGUUUUAUAAAUUAAAUUCACAUUCUGUUACCUUAAUAUUAUUGAGAGCUUCAUUUUUGUUACUAUCAGGCAUUUGAUGCCAUGACUCAUAGUUGAUAGGUAAAAUAUUGGCAUUUCGUGCUAUAAUGCCCAAAUAUCCUGCUAAAAGUCGAGCUUCUGAUCCAACAGGCUGACCAAGAUUGUUUUUAGAUACUUUGACACGCUCGGAAGGAUUUAACUCGUAUAACUCUUUAAGUAUCGUACGUCCUCGACCUCUGCGCGUCCCUCCACAUUCACCUAAAAAAUGGUAUAUUAUAAUAUAAGAAUUUGAAAAAGAAAUCAAUAAUAAAAGUCAACACACAUGUAAAUUAAAUUUAAUAUUACUUUGAAUUUCUGCAGGUUCGUCAGGUGUAUUCGGAACAUUCGAAGAUCCAAUAGCAGUCUGUUGUUCACUAUUUGUUUCUUCCGAACUUGAAGUAUUUUGAUCAAUACUUGGAUCUUGCAAUUUUCUUCUAGGCAUUUUAUCUACAAUACAUAUAAAAUAGUUGAAAUUUUAGUAACUAAUUACAACAAUAAUAGUACAUAUAAAAUAGUUGAAAUAUUUAAUAAGACCAAGAUUUAAAUUAUGAUAUUACAUAUAAUUAAAAAAUUGUAAAAUCUUACAACAUACCUUCCAUGUCAUCUUCUCUAACAGACUGAUGGUAAGCACUAUGAGGAUAAGCCGGAUUAAUCGUUGAAGGGGUUCUACUAGGUAUGCACUCUCCAUGGAAAAACCAUUUUUUAUACCCCGAAUAAACCCAUCAACAAUUAGAUGUUCGUAGACAACUUCACGAAAAUGCCAAUUGAUGUUGCCACACUUACUACACGGGCAAAGAAUCUAUUCUCUUGGCUUGCAUUUUGAAAUGCAAAAUUUAGAAAAGUUUGUACUCCAUUUCGAUAGUCGUUGCUUACCCUUGACAAAUUCAUCCAAGUCUUAUCCAUU
rnacentral:lncRNA from 1 species